rnacentral:rRNA from 1 species
UACAGAGGUCCCGAGCGUUGUUCGGAUUCACUGGGCGUAAAGGGUGCGUAGGUGGUGAGGUAAGUCGGAUGUGAAAUCUCCGGGCUCAACCCGGAAAUGGCAUUGGAAACUACCUUGCUGGAGGAUUUGAGGGGGGAUUGGAAUACUUGGUGUAGCAGUGAAAUGCGUAGAUAUUGGGAGGAACACCGGUGGCGAAGGCGGCCCCCUGGACCGGUACUGACGCUGAGGCGCGAAAGCGUGGGUAGCAAACGGG